rnacentral:rRNA from 1 species
UACGAAGGGGCUAGCGUUGUUCGGAUUUACUGGGCGUAAAGCGCACGUAGGCGGAUCGUUAAGUCGGGGGUGAAAUCCUGGAGCUCAACUCCAGAACUGCCUUCGAUACUGGCGAUCUUGAGUCCGGAAGAGGUGAGUGGAACUCCUAGUGUAGAGGUGGAAUUCGUAGAUAUUAGGAAGAACACCAGUGGCGAAGGCGGCUCACUGGUCCGGUACUGACGCUGAGGCGCGAAAGCGUGGGGAGCAAACAGG